rnacentral:rRNA from 1 species
UACGAAGGGGGCUAGCGUUGCUCGGAAUCACUGGGCGUAAAGCGCACGUAGGCGGAUCUUUAAGUCAGGGGUGAAAUCCCAAGGCUCAACCUUGGAACUGCCUUUGAUACUGGGGAUCUCGAGUCCGGAAGAGGUGAGUGGAACUGCGAGUGUAGAGGUGAAAUUCGUAGAUAUUCGCAAGAACACCAGUGGCGAAGGCGGCUCACUGGUCCGGUACUGACGCUGAGGCACGAGAGCGUGGGGAGCGAACCGG